rnacentral:rRNA from 1 species
ACGGCUGCUCAGUAACACGUAGUCAACCUAACCUAUGGACGGGAAUAACCUCGGGAAACUGAGAAUAAUGCCCGAUAGAACACUAUACCUGGAAUGGUUUGUGUUCCAAAUGAUUUAUCGCCGUAGGAUGGGACUGCGGCCUAUCAGUUUGUUGGUGAGGUAAUGGCCCACCAAGACUAUUACAGGUACGGGCUCUGAGAGGAGUAGCCCGGAGAUGGGUACUGAGACACGGACCCAGGCCCUAUGGGGCGCAGCAGGCGAGAAAACUUUGCAAUGUGCGAAAGCACGACAAGGUUAAUCCGAGUGGUUUCUGCUAAAGGAACCUUUUGUUAGUCCUAGAAACACUAACGAAUAAGGGGUGGGCAAGUUCUGGUGUCAGCCGCCGCGGUAAAACCAGCACCUCAAGUGGUCAGGAUGAUUAUUGGGCCUAAAGCAUCCGUAGCCGGCUCUGUAAGUUUUCGGUUAAAUCUGUACGCUCAACGUACAGGCUGCCGGGAAUACUGCAGAGCUAGGGAGUGGGAGAGGUAGACGGUACUCGGGAGGAAGUGGUAAAAUGCUUUGAUCUCUCGAUGACCACCUGUGGCGAAGGCGGUCUACCAGAACACGUCCGACGGUGAGGGAUGAAAGCUGGGGGAGCAAACCGGAUUAGAUACCCGGGUAGUCCCAGCUGUAAACUAUGCAAACUCAGUGAUGCAUUGGCUUGUGGCCAAUGCAGUAUUGCAGGGAAGCCGUUAAGUUUGCCGCCUGGGAGGUACGUACGCAAGUAUGAAACUUAAAGGAAUUGGCGGGGGAGCAG